CACGUAGGGGGCGAGCGUUGUCCGGAUUUAUUGGGCGUAAAGAGCUCGUAGGCGGCUCAGUAAGUCGGGUGUGAAAACUCCAGGCUCAACCUGGAGACGCCACCCGAUACUGCUGUGGCUAGAGUCCGGUAGGGGAGCGUGGAAUUCCUGGUGUAGCGGUGAAAUGCGCAGAUAUCAGGAGGAACACCAGCGGCGAAGGCGGCGCUCUGGGCCGGUACUGACGCUGAGGAGCGAAAGCGUGGGGAGCAAACAGG
rnacentral:rRNA from 1 species